rnacentral:rRNA from 1 species
AUUGAACGCUGGCGGCAGGCCUAACACAUGCAAGUCGAGCGAGCGGCGGACGGGUGAGUAAUGUCUGGGAAACUGCCCGAUGGAGGGGGAUAACUACUGGAAACGGUAGCUAAUACCGCAUACCAUCGGAUGUGCCCAGAUGGGAUUAGCUAGUAGGUGGGGUAACGGCUUACCUAGGCGACGAUCCCUAGCUGGUCUGAGAGGAUGACCAGCCACACUGGGACUGAGACACGGUCCAGACUCCUACGGGAGGCAGCAGUGGGGAAUAUUGCACAAUGGGCGCAAGCCUGAUGCAGCCAUGCCGCGUGUAUGAAGAAGGCCUUCGGGUUGUAAAGUACUUUCAGCGGGGAGGCGUUACCCGCAGAAGAAGCACCGGCUAACUCCGUGCCAGCAGCCGCGGUAAUUC